rnacentral:rRNA from 1 species
UACGAAGGGGGCUAGCGUUGUUCGGAAUUACUGGGCGUAAAGCGCGCGCAGGCGGUUCUUUAAGUCCGGGGUGAAAGCCCAGAGCUCAACCCUGGAAUUGCCUUUGAAACUAGAGAACUUGGGUACGGGAGAGGUGAGUGGAAUUCCGAGUGUAGAGGUGAAAUUCGUAGAUAUUCGGAAGAACACCAGUGGCGAAGGCGGCUCACUGGCCCGUUACCGACGCUCAGGCGCGACAGCGUGGGGAGCAAACAGG